rnacentral:rRNA from 1 species
GGUUCGAUUAUGGCUCAGAUUGAACGCUGGCGGGAUGUGCGCUUUACGUACAGUCGAACGGCGGCACGGACUUCAGGUCUGGUGGCGAGUGGCGAGCAGGUGGUAAUGUAUCGGAACGUGCCUAGUAGCGGGGAUAACUACGCGAAAGCGUAGCUAAUACCGCCGCCCUUCGAGGAAAACGCGAGGGGACCUUCGGGCCUCGCACUAUUAAACGGCCGAUAUCGGAUUAAGCUAGUUGGUGGGGUAACGGCUCACCAAGGCGACGAUCGGCGGGAUGGUUUGAAGGGACGACCAGCCACACUGGGACCGGGCAGGCCCAGACUCUGCGGGAGGCAGCAGUGGGGAAUUUUGGACAAUGGGGGAAACCCUGAUCCAGCCAUCCCGCGUGUGCGAUGAAGGCCUUCGGGUUGUAAACACUUUGGCGGAAAAAAACGGCGCAGGAUAAUACCCGAUACAGCUGACAUUGCCUGCAGAAUCAGCACCGGCUAACUACGUGCCGGCAGCCGCCGAUACGUAGGGUGCAAGCGUUAAUCAGGAUACUGGGCGUAAAGCGUGCGCAGGCGGUUCGGAAAGAAAGAUGUGAAAUCCCAGGGGAAAGCAACUUUGGAACUGCAUUUUUAACUACCGAGCUAAAGUGUCAGAGGGAGGUGGAAUUCCGCGUGCUUAACAGUGAAAUCGUAGGUAUAGGAGAAGACACCAAUGGCGGCAACUCUGGGAUAACACUAGGCGCUCAUGCACGAAAGCGUGGGAGCAGGGCAGGAUUAGAUACCCUGGUAGUCCACGCCUAAACGAUGUCAACUAGCUGUUGGGGCCUUCGGGCCUUGGUAUGACGCAACUAACGCGUGAAGUUGACCGCCUGGGAAGUACGGUCACCGUUAGCUCGAAAAUUGACGGGACCGCCUGGCGGUGGAUGAUGUGGAUUAAUUCGAUGCAACGCGAAAAGCCUCACCCUUGACAUGUCUGGAAUCCCGAAGAGAUUUGGGAGUGCUCGCAGAGAACGCGUUUCCUGGGUGCUGCAUGGCUGUCGUCGAAAUACGUGUCGUGAGAUGUUGGGUUAAGUCCGCAAGCAGAGCGCAACCCGUAUCGACAGUUGCUACGAAAGGGCACUCUAAUGAGACUGCCGGUGACAAACCGGAGGAAGGUGGGGAUGACGUCAAGUCUCAUGGCCCUUAUGGGUAGGGCUUCACGUCAUGCAAUGGUCGGGACGGGGGUCGCCAACCCGCGAGAGGGUAAUCCAGAAACCCCGAUCGUAGUCCGGAUCGCAGUCUGCAACUCGACCCGUGAAGUCGGAAUCGCUAGUAAUCGCGGAUCAGCAUGUCGCGGUGAAUACGUUCCCGGGUCUUGUACACACCGCCCGUCACACCAUGGGAGUGGGUUUUACCGAAGUAGUUAGCCUAACCGUAAGGAGGGCGAUUACCACAGUAGGAUUCAUGACUGGGGUGAAGUCGUAACAAGGUAA